rnacentral:rRNA from 1 species
AUGUACCGCCUGGGGAGUACGGUCGCAAGAUUAAAACUCAAAGGAAUAGACGGGGACCCGCACAAGCGGUGGAGCAUGUGGUUUAAUUCGACGAUACGCGAAGAACCUUACCUGGCCUUGACAUAGAAAGAAUUUAGCAGAGAUGUAAAAGUGCUAGUUUACUAGAGCUUUCAUACAGGUGCUGCACGGCUGUCGUCAGCUCGUGUCGUGAGAUGUUAGGUUAAGUCCUGCAACGAGCGCAACCCUCGUGUUUAGUUACUAACAGAUUAUGCUGAGGACUCUAGACAUACUGCCUGGGCAACCAGGAGGAAGGUGAGGACGACGUCAAGUCAUCAUGGCCCUUACGGCCAGGGCUACACACGUGCUACAAUGGGGUAUACAAAGAGCAGCGAUACCGCGAGGUGGAGCAAAUCUCAUAAAAUAUCUCCCAGUUCGGAUUACACUCUGCAACUCGAGUGUAUGAAGUUGGAAUCGCUAGUAAUCGUAGAUCAAGCAAUGCUACGGUGAAUACGUUCCCGGGUCUUGUACUCACCGC